rnacentral:rRNA from 1 species
AGCUUUAAGUAUUUAUUUAAAGUGAAGCCUGCCCAGUGAAAAUUCAACGGCCGCGGUACCUUGACCGUGCUAAGGUAGCAUAAUAAAUUGGCCUUUAAUUGGGGUCUGGAAUGAAUGGAAAAACGUAACUAAGCUGUCUCCCUUUUAUUAUUCUUAAUUUACUAAUUAGGUGAAAAGGCCUAAGAAAGAUAAUAGACGAGAAGACCCUUAGAGUUUAUAAAUGUUUUUGUUGGGGCGACAUGGGAUUAAAUCAUCCCUUUUUUAUAUGACAUAUAUAUUGCACAGUUAAACUACCUAAGGGAUAACAGCAUAAUCUUUUUAGGUUUAUGACCUCGAUGUUGGAUUAGGGAAUCAUUUGGUUAGCCACCAGAUGAUAAAAUUCUGUUCGAAUUAUUUAUCCU